rnacentral:rRNA from 1 species
CCUACGGGUGGCAGCAGUGAGGAAUAUUGGUCAAUGGGCUUACGCCUGAACCAGCCAAGUCGCGUGAGGGAAGACUGCCCUAUUGGUUUUAAACCUCUUUUGUCAGGGAGCAACGCCGGCUACGUGUAGCCGGACUGAGAGUACCUGAAGAAAAAGCAUCGGCUAACUGCGUGCCAGCAGCCGCGGUAAUACGGAGGAUGCGAGCGUUAUCCGGAUUUAUUGGGUUUAAAGGGUGCGUAGGCGGAAUGCAAAGUCAGCGGUAAAAUCGCGGGGCUCAACCUCGCUCCGCAGUUGAAACUGGUGUUCUUGAGUGGGAGAGAGGUAAGCGGAACGAGUGGUGUAGCGGUGAAAUGCAUAGAUAUCAGGAAGAACACCGAUUGCGAAGGCAGCAUACCGGCGCCCAACUGACGCUGAAGCACGAAAGCGUGGGUAUCGAACAGGAUUAGAUACCCGUGUAGUC